GAUGGACGCUGGCGGCGUGCCUAACACAUGCAAGUCGAACGGAGAUUCCGGACGGACGUUUUCGGAUGGAAGCCUGUAAUUCUUAGUGGCGGACGGGUGAGUAACGCGUGGGCAACCUGCCCUAUACAGGGGGAUAGCAGCUGGAAACGGCUGGUAAGACCGCAUAAGUCGGUUAAAUCGCAUGAUUUGAUCGGGAAAUGAGCAAUCAGGUAUAGGAUGGGCCCGCGUCCGAUUAGCCAGUUGGCAGGGUAAAAGCCUACCAAAGCGACGAUCGGUAGCCGGACUGAGAGGUCGGACGGCCACAUUGGGACUGAGACACGGCCCAAACUCCUACGGGAGGCAGCAGUGGGGGAUAUUGCACAAUGGAGGAAACUCUGAUGCAGCGACGCCGCGUGAGUGAAGAAGUAUUUCGGUAUGCAAAGCUCUAUCAGCAGGGAAGAUGAUGACGGUACCUGACUAAGAAGCCCCGGCUAACUACGUG
rnacentral:rRNA from 1 species